rnacentral:tRNA from 1 species
UCCCUGGUGGUGCAGUGGUGGAGACUCUGCACUUACAAUCCAGGAGGCACAGGUUUGAUUCCUGGUCGGGGAA